UACAGAGGGGGCAAGCGUUGUUCGGAAUUACUGGGCGUAAAGGGCGCGUAGGCGGCCUGUUAAGUCGAACGUGAAAUCCCCGGGCUCAACCGAGGAACUGCGUCCGAUACUGGCGGGCUUGAAUCCGGGAGAGGGAUGCGGAAUUCCAGGUGUAGCGGUGAAAUGCGUAGAUAUCUGGAGGAACACCGGUGGCGAAGGCGGCAUCCUGGACCGGCAUUGACGCUGAGGCGCGAAAGCUAGGGGAGCAAACAGG
rnacentral:rRNA from 1 species